GGGGCCAGCGUCGGUUUGGGCGGCCGGUCAAAGGCCCCUGGAAUGUAGUACCCUCCGGGGUACCUUAUAGCCAGGGGUGCAAUGCGGCCAGCCUGGACCGA
rnacentral:rRNA from 1 species